AAGGAAAGUCUGAGAAGUCAUCAUAAUCAGGAGGAACUUAAGGAGACUUAACGAUGAAAUGUAAUGUCAUGUCCUAAAUGGGAUCCUGCAGCAGAAAAUGACAUCAAGCAAAAACUAAGGAAAUCUGAAAUAAGGAAUUGUGAUAACGAAGCAGUAAUUUCCGGUAAUAGCGAGGUGCCAUACACCCCAAGCAAGAAGAUUCCGUAUCUUAUUUGAAUAGUGAGCUCCAGUGCAAUGUUGAAGAGAAGUGAUGAGAGUGGACAGCGUUGCCUUGCUCUCCAUAUUAAGAUACAUGAGAGAUUGUACUUCCUGCUUCAUAAAAGUUAGGUGUGGCCAUGUGACUGAAAAGUGACCAAUUGACCAAUGAAAGGUGAAGUGUGACUGUUUCUGGGCAGAAUAUUUAAGCCUGCGUGUGAUUGGACACCAUCACUUCCCUCUGUGUGGUAAGCUGAAUAAUGGCCCCCCAAAGACGUCCUCUUAAUCCCUGGAACCUGUGAAUAUGUUACCUCACAGGACAGACAGGAUCUCGCAAAUGUGAUUAAGGAUCUUGAGAUAAGGAGAUUAUCCCGGCUUCUCCAGGUGCGCCCAGUGUAAUCACAAGGAUCCUCACAAGAGGGAGGCAGGAGAGGCAGAGUGGAAGAAGAUGUGACGAUGGAGCAGAGGUAACAGAGAGAGAAUUGAAAAUGCUCCACUGCUGGCUGUGAAGAUGGAGGAAGGCGCACAGGCAGCCUCCAGAAGCUGGAAAGGGAGGGAAACAGAUUCUCCCCGAGAGCCUCCGGAAGGAAAACAGUCCUGCCGACACCUUGAUUUUAGCCCAGUGAGACCCAUUUCAGACUGUGACCUUCAUAACUGGAAGACAAUAAAUUUGCA